rnacentral:rRNA from 1 species
UUUAUGGAGAGUUUGAUCCUGGCUCAGGAUGAACGCUGGCGGCGUGCCUAAUACAUGCAAGUCGAGCGAACGGACGAGAAGCUUGCUUCUCUGAUGUUAGCGGCGGACGGGUGAGUAACACGUGGAUAACCUACCUAUAAGACUGGGAUAACUUCGGGAAACCGGAGCUAAUACCGGAUAAUAUUUUGAACCGCAUGGUUCAAAAGUGAAAGACGGUCUUGCUGUCACUUAUAGAUGGAUCCGCGCUGCAUUAGCUAGUUGGUAAGGUAACGGCUUACCAAGGCAACGAUGCAUA